GGGCGGCUGCAGGGACUGAGGACGUGGUGGGAGAUACAUGAAGGAGAGAGCAAGGCAGUGUUGCCAGAAGUGAAGCAGAUGCAGGCACUGGGUAGGCCAAAAUAAUCACACUUACCUCCCUGUCCCCACAGUCAUCUACUGAGGAGGGAAGAUACACAUACACACAUGAUCACACACACAUAUACACACGCACACACACAUAUGCACACAGAUACACACACGCGCACACACAUGCACACACGCGCGCGCGCGCGCGCGCACACACACACACACACACACACACACACACACACUAUCAGCGAGCUAGGUGGAUAACAUUACUGGACAAGCGUCAUCUACUGGCAUGUGUGAGCAGAACUGACAGCCCUGGAGAGCACUGAGAACAAGUGAGAAGAUGCAGCAAUCUCCUUCCAGGCAUGUCCAUUCUCUAUGGGAGAAUAUGAAGCAUAAUUUCAAAGUACUGAAAAUAUGAACUACCAGUUGCCAUGUGGUUUAGUAGAACUACUGCAGAAAAGAAUUGGAUCACUUUGUUAAGUGGAAUAUGCACAUUGUCUGUGACCAGCAGCCUCCCCCCACUACAAUGUUUAUCUUUGAAAACUGUUUUUAGGUGUACAUGAGAACGGCCAGUAUUCACGGACGAAAGACUGUUAAAUGACUCCUAGUUUACUCACACAGUGGCAAAAAGUAAAUCACAUAGAUAUAUGACUUGUCCAGUUACGCCAGAAGCUGGGCCAUGGGAUUAGUUCUUGAGAUGUAAAAGGUUAAUGGGUCUUUCCAUGAAGAUAAGCAAAUUGAUUUAAAGAUGCAUGAAUUAGGCAUAAGCUUAGGUAUGCUGUAGCUGUCUUUUAUCAUGUUUAUAUAUGUGUCUACAUAUCUACCAAGUGAAUGUGCAGAAGCAUAGGUCACAUACGUACACACACAUAAUACAGAUAAAGGAUGGAAGGCCAUGUAGAGAGCUAUGUUAUUGUAGUACUCACAGACACAGAUAAGGAUGGAACAGCUUCUUCAGACCCAUUCUGUGUGUUUACUAUAAUUGUGUUUGAAGCACAUAUCUAACUGAGACCAUAUAUCUGAGUGAAACUUACCUUCCAGUCAUGAGCCUUGUUCAACUCUCAGCUUGUAUUCAGAAAAUAUUAGUCAAAAUGUCAUAGGAAACAAAAGGAGCAAUCCAAGUCAAGUACAGAAAAAUCCACCCCCCACAGCAGACGUUCCUGAGAUAGGGUGGGUAACUCAACCCUAACUGUACGCUGCUCGAAGUUUUCACGUCUAUUGUGUGCACUUUUAGGCAAACAGACUGGCUUUUGCAACACACUGUACCCCACACACAGUAACUACAAAGCCUAGCUUGUCACACGCUGGCAAAGGGAAAUGGUGCUAAAUUGCGCUUCCUGGUAGAUGUGAAGAGAGUAGAUUAAAGCUCUCACUCUGACACACACAGCACAAAUGUGGAAGCCAGUGGGCGGAUACAAAAGAAAGUGAAAUGAGACAUAUCUAAAAAGUAGCUGCUGUGCUUAUGAGUUAAUCACACCUCAAAGCGUAACAUUGUUGUUUUUUAAAUAACAGAAGCAAUAAAAUCCUAGUAUGGAUUAAUCUUCUGCCAAAUUUUGUUUUUUAAUCAAAUCUAUUUUGAGCCAAAGAAAAUACAAAAAUGCAAAUGAAGGGCCUGAUCCUCAAGAUCUUGAGAACAUGUAAGGGCUGAUACACUUCAAAGAUUGUUUUUAACUCAUCACUUAAGCUACAACACAGCCAAACACACUUAUUUGUAAACCUUUUAAUUUUACAUCCCAUGUAAAGUUGGGGCCUUUUAGAAAGAAGGGUUUUUAAAUCCUAAAAGUAGGUAUUUAAUAAGUAAAUCCUGAUCUAAUUCAAUAACCUGAGUGUGUUAUAAUCUGAGACUGUGAGAGAGAAUUCAGUUGUUUUUCCAUAGUAAAUUGACUGCCAACAGCAAAACUGUGCUGGGAUGCAUAGCCCAGGCCUCUCCAGACACACAUCCCAACGGAACACAAGGUCCAGACCGUUCAGGGAAGAGUUGUUUGUGCUGUGUUUCCCCGUGUGCUCUCUCCAGCUGGGAUGCAGUAUGCACCAGCAGACCUAAACAGACUCUUGAGAGCAUUUUUACCUCCUCCAAGUGUGAAAAUGCUGUUCAAACAGGCUGUUAAUGAAGCCAUCCACCAUGUUGUUCAGUGAUGUUUUCGAAGCUGAAGAAAGCUCCAGCAGGCCCCAGGCAGUGCCUACGCUCAGCUAGCAACUGUUUAUCCUUUGUGUGGCAACUGUGAAAAUGCCAGCUCACAUGCUGUCCAAGCGAAUCGUGACAAUGUCCAUGGACAUCAGCUGUGUCGUGGCAGACAUCACACUGACCGCCAUUUACUGUUUGAGGUCACACUCUGGAGAACUACAUAAUAAUGUGUCAUUAUGAAGGUGCUCCUCAGAGUCCAAAGUUACAAGAAAGGAUGUGGUUUAGUUUCCUGAAGCCAGGGAUCCUAGGAAGCAUUGAAAAAUAAAUACAUAUUGUUGAUUAAAACAAGAAAAAAUAAAAGUAGCAUUACACACAUUUUUCACCAGGACCAUCUCCUACCAAAGGGAAGCAAAUAUAUAAUGGGAACUAAUUAAUAUUAUUUCAAAGCAUUUUUGUUUACACAUAAACACAAGAAUGCACAGAAGAGUAAACACAAAGUGGAAAUUUGCGUGUUGAAUCUGCAGUUAUGCAGAAACAGUUGGGAGGAAUCUCUGCUUGCUUAUAUUCAAACGGGCAGGCGUGGUUAACAGGGAGAUUCUCUUUUGUUUCUUGCAGCACUUGGGACUGAACCCAGGGCCUCACGAAUGCUACACAAGAACUCUGAGUUAUGUCCUCAGCCCAGGAAAAUGAUUCUUCAGUAUUUGUAAUGACAUGGAAUGUGUGUCAAAGCUCACAUGUGCUCUGGGGAAAGUCAUCAAAUACAGUGCUCCACUCGGGUGACAACCACCGGUACUUGAAACUCAGUACCUCAACAAUCAAAUCCAGUGUUUCACCCCAGGGAGAUUGUCUCUCUUCCUGUUUCUUUCUGUUCUAUAUCCGUGACAGGCAGAAUUCUGAGAUGUCCCCUAAUGAGUGAGGACAGGACUUGAGAAUUCCAGACGGCACUCAGCUUGAUGUAGGGGUUUUGCACACGUGGAGUCCCCAGUGGUUGACCUUGAGUUAAUCGAAAGGGAGGUGAAGCUGAGUGAACCUAAUCUAAUCAGGUGAGGCGCUUAAAGAGGAUCCAGAGGUCACGGACGCCCCUGCUGGCUCUGAAGUUUUGUAUUGUGUUCGGGGAGGCCUUUGAGAGGGUCUGGGGCAAGGAUCUGAGAUCAGAACAGUCUGUGGCUGAUCACAAGAGACAACAAGAGAGCUUAGUCCCAGGACAGCAAGGAACUCAGUGCCACCAGCCACUGAACACACUGAAGGACUCCUCCACUGAGAACACAGCUCCACUGAGAACCUGAGUGUGGGUUUGGACUCUCCACCCACAUACGCUGGGACAGUUUUAAGCCACCACCGUUUGAAAUAACAAUAACAACAAGGGAAAAGAAAUAGCCAUCCAGCUCAGCUCUCAGAAAACUUUCAGAGCCUCUGUUUCCUCUCUCUUUCCUUCUCAUCUCCACCUCUGCUGCUGCUUAGACAUAGGAGACAGGAAUACAGCCUCAUCAGUGGAGAAGGACGUUGCAGAAACUCACCACGAUUUCUACAGCAGUUGAAGCCAGCUACACUAACAGGAAGGAAUAACACCCGUUCCAGCUCCUCUCUGGACUGUCUACACAGUUGCAUUCCACUGCAGUCUGAUCCGGAUUCUGAUCCGGAUUCUGCUCUGCACCUUCCUUGCUUACCUCAGACAGCUUCAUCUGCUAGCUGUCUUCACAACUGCAAUUACAGCAGCAUUUAAAUACCUUUACAUUAUAGUUCUAGUAGAAUGCAUAGAUUGUAAAUAUACAAUUCAAUGGAUUUUGAUAAGUGUAUAAAUCCACAUAACCAAUACCCAGUCAAGACUGUUUCCAGCACCCCAGAGAGUUCCCAUGUGUUUCUUCCUAAUCAGUCCUCACUGCCCACAUUCCUUUUGCUCUAGCUUAGCUUUGCUGGUUCUAAAGCCUCACACGACCACAGAAUGUUCUUUCACGUGAAAUACGGACUUUCUGCUCAACAUGACCCUGUGACUCGUCCAUACUGCUUCCCUCAUUCCUUGUUACAGCUGGGAUUAUUUUUAUGUUACUAUGAUUUGCUCAUUCCUUCUUCUCUGUGUGGAAACUUGGUUUGUACCUGGGUUUUGAUUAUUGGGAAUAAAGCAGCUAUGAACAUUU